AGAAUUCAAACUUCUCCAAAGCAAAAAAUACAAAUAACCUUAUUUAAAAAUCAGAAAAAGAUCUACCCAAACCCUCUGUCUGUCCCCCAGCAUUAUUUUUCCAUCUUCUUUUCCCAACAGCCUUUGGCCCUUCCCUCUCGCCAGCCUUUUUCUUUCUCCAUCUACCCCAAAGCUUUUUCCACAUUUUCCCCCACUGUCAUUUCACAAAGACUUCUCUACUCUCUUGCUCACUACAGUUUUCCCCACUCAUCUACCCCAAAACUUUUAUACACCGUUUUCCCCCACUGUGUUUUCUUCCUCUUUCCUACCCUCUUUCCUGCCUCACUCUCAUUCCGUUUGCUCCUCUAUCUACACAAAAACAUUUUCCCCAUCUUUUACCAAAGCCUUCUCACCACUCCUGCUCAGCACCCUCUUUUCCCCCUUCAUCUCCCCAAAACUGUUUGCCCCAUCGUCUUUUUCCCCUUUCCUUCUUGCCACCCUCUUUCCCUUCUCCAUCUAUCCCAAAACAUUUCCUCACCAUCUUUUUUGCAAAGCCUUCCCCGCUUCCCACUCACCCUCUUCUUCCCCUUAUCCUGCUUGCCACGUCUUUGCCCUCUACGCUAUUUUUCCCAUCUUCUUUUUCCCAUCCCUCUUUCUGCACUCCCUCUGGCCACCCCCUCUUUUCUCUUCCCACUUGCCACCCUCUUCCCCCUCCAUCUAUCCACUUUAUCCACUGUCUUUUCUUUCUGCAGUCUUUCUUUCCUGCCCAUCGUCUAUUUGCAAAACCUUUUCUCCUCCCCACUCGCCACCCUCUUUUCUCUCUUCAUCUACGUAAAAAAUUUUAUCCCCUUCUUUUCGCAAAACCUUCUCUCCCUCCUGCUUGCCCACUUUCUCUUCCCCCUCCCUCUUUGCAUCACCUUUCCUUCUCCCACUUGUCCCCCUCUUCCCUUCUGCAUCUGCCCAAAAUCUUUUUACACACUGUCUUCUUUCCUCCCGUAUUUUUUCAGACCUUCUCUCCCUCCUGCUCACCCCCUGGUUCUCCCCUCACCAUCCUCUCAUUCCUCCUGUCACUUGCCACUCUCUUUUCCCCUUCCAUCUACCCAAAAACGUUUCCCCACCAUCUUUUCACAAAAGCUUCUCUCCCUCUUCCUCGCCCCCUGCUUCCCCCCUCACCAUCCUCUCAUUCCUCCUCUCACUUGCCACUCCAUUUUCCCCUUCCAUCUACCCCAAAAUAGUUUUCCCACCAUCUUUUCCUCACCGUCUUUUUUCAACAUCUUAUCCUGUUCGCCAUCCUCUUUGUCCCUUUGGCAAUAA
rnacentral:lncRNA from 1 species